rnacentral:sRNA from 1 species
AAAUAUGAGCUUCUGAGCCUCUCCCUGUUGCUUUGUUUCCUGCUGCCUAGGUGGGAAGUCACGACCUGACCCUUGUUAACCUUCACCUGGCAGCCCUGACCCUCCUGGGGAGCGAGAAUCCCAGCAAGAAUCACAGUGAUGGCCACCGGUUGGCGAGCUUUGCACAGACCCUACAGGAAACCCUGAAAGGAGAAAAGGAUGUCAUUAUCUUAGGGGAUUUUGGCCAAGGGCCAGACAGCAAUGACUAUGAUAUCCUGAGGAAAGAAAAGUUCCACCACCUGAUCCCCGCUCACACCUUCACCAACAUCAGCACCAAGAACCCUCAAGGCUCGAAGUCUCUGGACAACAUCUGGAUCAGUAAAAGCUUAAAGAAGGUUUUCACAGGUCACUGGGCUGUGGUGAGAGAAGGCCUCACGAACCCUUGGAUUCCGGAUAACUGGUCUUGGGGCGGGGUGGCUUCUGAACACUGCCCAGUGCUAGCCGAGCUCUACACUGAAAAGGACUGGAGCAAGAAGGAUGCCCCUCGGAACGGCAGCGGGGUGGCCUUGGAGAGAAGUGAAGCCAACAUCA